rnacentral:rRNA from 1 species
AAUAGAUACCCAGGUAGUCCACGCCGUAAACGAUGAAUACUAGGGUGUUGGGGCUCAUAAGAGCUUCGGUGCCGUCGCAAACGCAAUAAGUAUUCCACCUGGGGAGUACGUUCGCAAGAAUGAAACUCAAAGGAAUUGACGGGGAUCCGCACAAGCGGUGGAGCAUGUGGUUUAAUUCGAAGCAACGCGAAGAACCUUACCAGGUCUUGACAUCCUGCUGACCGGACCUUAACCGGUCCUUUCCUUCGGGACAGCAGAGACAGGUGGUGCAUGGUUGUCGUCAGCUCGUGUCGUGAGAUGUUGGGUUAAGUCCCGCAACGAGCGCAACCCUUAUCUUUAGUAGCCAGCGGUUUGGCCGGGCACGUCUAGAGAGACUGCCAGGGAUAACCUGGAGGAAGGCGGGGAUGACGUCAAAUCAUCAUGCCCCUUAUGAUCUGGGCUACACACGUGCUACAAUGGUGACUACAAAGAGAAGCAAGGGUCGUGAGGCGAAGCAAAUCUCAAAAAGGUCAUCUCAGUUCGGAUUGU